rnacentral:rRNA from 1 species
GACGAACGCUAGCGGCGUGCUUAACACAUGCAAGUCGAACGGAAAGGCCCUCCUUUUGUGGGGUUUUCUAGUGGUGAACGGGCGAGUAACAGGUGAGUAACUUGCCCUUGAGCUCAGCAUAACUUCAGGAAACUGGGGAAGAUACCCGAUAGCAGCACCUUCUGCCAGGAGGGGAUCGGAAUGUUUCGGAGGUUGUGGAUGGACUGGCGGCUUAUGCGACUGCUUGGCGGGUUGGCGAUUACCAGGGCUUCGACGGGAACCCGGCCUGAGAGGGUGACCGGCAACAUGGGGAAUGAGAUACGGGACAGACUACUACGGGAGGCAGCAGUAGGGAAUAGUGCACGAAGGGCGCAAGCCGGAUGCAGCAACGCCGCGUGCGGGAUGACGGCCUUCGGGUAGUAGGCCGCUUUCGCCUGUGACGAAGCGUGAGUGACGGUAAUGGAUAAAGAAGCACCGGCUAACUACGUG